CUCCAAACCCUCGGGACUAGCGUCUGCUCAGAGGAGAUAAAAAGCAGCAGUCUCUACGCUCCAACCCUGAACGCACGCCCCUUUUCGGGUCUGCGAAAAAGAAAACAAUAAGAAAAUAAUGGAACAAGCUCUGGGAAACUUCAGACUUUGGAAUCAGUAGACCUGGGUUUGAAUCCAAUUUGCAAUUUACUUCUUAUGUGACCUGGGCAAACAAAGCCUCUGAAAGAGAAUCGGCAGAACAAAAACAGACUUGGAAAGUAACUUCGAGAGAGAGAUUGAAGGGAAUUGUAAAGAACCUGUCCUAGUGCUGGUGAAACUACAGAAAAGCUGGUGGAAAUUAACCAUUUCUGUCACAGGCAGAACACCAGAUGCUACUUGCCUUCCCAGGAGAAAGAACCGCAAGCAACGGUUUCCCACUCCGCAGUGGGGCUGCUGAGCUCAGCCUGCGCUCACUUGUGCUCUCUAACGAAAUGCAAUUCAACAACCAGGUCCCAGCAUGCUUAACCUUUGGACCACGGAUGCCAACGUUUCUCUGGAGAAAGAGCCAGUUGUGCUUGUCUUGGUGACUGUGAUGCAAUCACUGAAGGGAAAAACAGGCUUAUACCCACUAUGAUUUUGCAAUGGCUUCAACAAAGGGCUUAAAAGAUUUCAGAUGCAUUUGGAAAUUAAACUCUGUGGGCCCUCCUGAGCCAGCAUCUCUUUCUGAAUACCAGAGGGACUGACAAUGAUAAAACCCAGACCCAACUGCUGAUGCAGGCUUGAUGGUAUUUGGGUUGUCUAGUCAUGACAAGGCAUAAACAAAUCUCUUUGCCACUGUUUGCAUGUGGAAAAAAUGGCAUCUCAUCCAGCUGCUCUCUACCAGCUCCAUUGGCAGGCUGUCCCAGUGUCCUCCACCCCCACUCCCCAAGUGGAUCUUUGGGAAACUGACCUUGAACACAGAUCAUAGAAUUUUUAAAAGGGGCAAAUGCUCUCAUUCCCUCUCUUGUUAUGUAGCCUGACAGUAGGGAUUCACAACAGCUCCCCAAGGGGUCAGGUCCUGUUGACAUCAAUGAACAGAGGCAGUUCUCAGAGGUGGUGUCUGACUUAGAAGAAAAUGACAAAUGAGACCUUUCUACAAGGACAGGAAGUUUAAAAAAAUGUCUGAUUCUUAACAUAGCAAUUAUUUCUGUGUGUACUCUGUAGAAUAUAAGGCAGGAACUGGAUUUCUGUAACCUGGACAAGUGGAAAUAAGGGGCUGAGUGUGUGUGUGUGCAGCAGUGGGGGAAGGAGAAGGGUGCCCAGAGUGGAGUGGUGGUAGAAUUUUGUGACCAUUUGGAAGGCCAUGGAGACUCAUACCUGGAGGACUCUGGCCUCUACUUUCAUUUGUCUUGCUCCAAAUUCCAGAGCUCUCUGCAUAACCCAAAAUGCCUGGAACUUUUACCCCAAUGAGUCUAAUCAGGCAGAGUAAGGAAGUACAGCUCAAUCAAUAUUUGUUGAAUUGAAAGGUCAUGUUUCUAUACUCAUGCUUUUGUCUCUGUGAUUUUAUAAUAUGACACAGUCUCAUUGUAACAUGAUACAAUGACUAACAGAUAAAAUCCUACACUGCUGUGACCCCUCUUCUCCAAUACAACACUGCACAUGGACAAAGCCUCCGAUAAAGGAGGGUUCAGGCCGUUUCCCAACACCACCUGUGUGGGGCCCUCCUCCAUAUCCUCUGGGUGGAGAAGCAAGUGGAGUCAUGGUUGCAUUCCACCAAGAAUUUAGGUGGUCAGACUCUAGCAGACCCCCAA